CUUACCUCUAAUAUAUUCAUAAAAUUUAAACUCCACAUUCUACAACUAUAUAUCUAAUAUAUUGGUUGUACUAGUCAAACUAAUAGUACAUUUCAAACUGAGUCAACUAAUAUAUCAGUUGGAAUCCAAAAAUAGAUCAACUGGCAGUCUAGGAAAUACACACUUUUGUGGCACUAAGGAGAAAAUUGAACAUAUUUUGCAUUAACUUGUCUGCACGAACAUAUCAUACUCUGGUGUAAGAGGCUGGUUGGACUAUUCACCGUGUAACAUUAAUCAACUUCACUCAACUUGGACCAUUUGCCUUGUAACUGGUGAAGAAUAAACAUGGACUAUCAUCUUGAACCUGUACAUAUCAACACCACAUUUGUAUAUACAAUCAGGAAAUAAAAUCAAAUGAAAUAUUCAAGUCUAAUUCUUAUAAGAAAAUGAGCAAUGGUAAUUCAAAUAUUUUAGAGUCUAUUUUCUUCACCAGAUAAAAUAAUUAUUGUAUUAUCAAGAGAAAUGCACCUUUCAGAUCUCAUAGUGAGUGGACACACUGCUGUCUAGCACUAUAAUGUUUCACUUCAAGAAAAAUAAAUUCAUAACCAAUACUGAAAAAAUAGAAAAAUCAAAGAAAAAAUAGAGCACAACAGAGAAAAAAAUUGAGCAGAAUAGAGAAAAAGGAAGAUUACAUAGUGCUACUGAAAAAGUAUAAAACUUCACACUUUUACAACCAACACCUUCUUCCUCCGCUCAUUCAAAUAAAAUAUUGGUAUUCUUAUGUUAUAGAACUCAUUCAAUAUGGAAAUAAGUACAAAUAAUAAAGAAGAAAAGUUGAAGUAAAAUCAUACUUGUUCCACCGGUAAAUAUCCAACAUAAGAUAUAUGUGUGUUGUUGAAAUUACAUAAUCAUCACAAUAUGAGAAUGUUGGAAUAUUCUGAGAUAUUAUUCAACCAACUAGAUUUAUUUAAAGUUGAAAUUCAUAAUCAUCACAAUAUGAGAAUAUAUGUGUAUUGUUGUUACCCCUCAUAUUAUCUACAAAAAAUUCAAUUUCUCUAAGUGUAACUAGAGUUGUGUAAACAAAUAGCGGGUGAACUUCUCUGGAGCCGUAGUUACUAUCUUACUACGAAAUAUAUUUUGUUUGUUGUUGUUAGUCGUAUAGACCCUUAUUAAGAGAAUAUGGAGAUAUGACAUAUAUGGAGUCUUGUAUGUGUACUACACUAGUCAAAUAAAUAACGAAAAACAGACUUAAUUCUUUCCAAAAAGUUUUCAUUAUUAGAAACUUCGAAAGAAAGGAUAGAUGAAAUUUUGUAAGAAUGAAUAUGAUGUAUAACAGUAACCAUUAAUAGAACAGUGGGAAGGUGAAACAAAGAACAAUGGUAAUAUAUAGAAACUAAUACAUAAAAAUAUACCAAAUAUAAGUGAUAGUCGUAGUCACUCUGUUGUAGAAGUCAGUAGAAUAGUAUUAAUAAAAAAUAAUGAAGGUAGACUAGGAAGAUAAAUUAUUUCCAACAACAAAUAUACUGUCGAGAACGAUGAUCACUGUUAUAUGCUAUUGAAAUUUUCCACUACUUUAUCUUGUUACUGCUAGACAAAAAAAUCAUUUUAUCUUAUUCAGGUUGUAGGCUCUAUAGGUUGUUUUAUUGUUUGAUUUUGUGAAUAUGUAUGACAGUAUAAGAAAAAACUACAUCUUUAUUGAACCCGCGUAUCCAUUUUACAUCCAUAAGAUGAGUUUCUACAAUAAUUGAAGAAGAUAUGUUUCUCACACUAGUCAAAAGAUGGCGUAGAAUAUGCUAGAUUGAGAAGAUUUCUCAAAUGAUCACUCAACUAAUAGUUUCUUUCGGAUAAACUGAAAAAAGGAAUUUUCACUCAACUAAUCAUAGUCUUACAAAGCACCAUUUUAAAAGUAAAUUUCAAAAGCUAUUAAUCAAUUCUCAACUCCAAGUUUCAGAAGCAUUAACCAAUUAUGAAACAGAAGCAAUUAAUCAAUUCUCAAACAAAUGCUGUUAAUGAAUUCUUAGCUCCAAGUUUAAGAAGCUAUCAAUUGAUUAUCAAACAGAAGCUACAGAUCAAAUUUUUUUAUAAAAAUAUUUAUCAGUUCUCAGCUCUAAAUGUACCUCAAUUAUUGAAUUAGUAAAUCAUUCUUUGAGAGAAAAAUCUAAACAAUUAUACAAGUAGUCCAACAUUCAAUAAUCAUUUCCCUUAAAAAAUCAACAGUAAAUUUUUGACCCUCUAUUUUUCAGAUCGUUCAAUAAUUAUUUCCCUUCGAAAAUCAACACUAAAUUUUUGACCCUCUGUUUUUCAGAUUUUUUUUUAUUCAUCAUUCCAUUAUAUAUAAGAAACAAUGAAUUAGAACUCCAAUGACAAUUAGAGAAGCUAUUUCACUCAACUCAUAGUUUAGUUUUCCCAACUCAAGAUGAAGCUCCUAGUAUCGUCAACAAUGGGAAUUUAACAUAACCUCUAAUUCGAUUAUAUGUAAUAAGAAGUGGUAUUCAACUUUCCAACUGAAUUUCAUCACAGUAGAAUGAGCAAAGAUGAAUUUCAAUUCAUAUCCUAGAAAACCAAAAUCAAAACUAAAACAGUGUACAACUACAUACUAUAUACUAUAUACACAAUCCAUAAUUCUAAAAUUCAAGGAUGAAUUUUAGUUCCUUGCUUAAUAAACUAACCUCAAUUUCAUAAAAAGAAUUUCAAGUUCACUUCAAUCGAGGAUACAAACUUGAAUUCGUAGAUACUCUUCAACUUUCAUGACUACAAUUUGAUAGAACUGAACUACCUGUGGUGACAAAUCACUUUUGUGGCUACAAAUUCCUUUCUGAUAGAUAUGCAUUUGGUAAAUAAAUAAGCAGACCUGGACAUAAAACAAUGAGAGAAUAAUUUUGCUAGUAUUUUAAUAGCUAGCAACAUAAACCAAGCCAUUAGUUAUGUCAUCCACAUUAUAAGAAUGAUUAAUUAAAGCUAGAGAAAAAUUUAAAACUCCACACUGUUACUACUAACACUUUCUUCUUCUCCUUUAGUUUUAAAUGAUAUUAAGGAAAAGAUGAACAUAUUUACCUGAUUAGGAAACCCCCAAAAGAGCAGUGAAAUCAACACACUUCCCCAAAGCUUAGAAAAAACUCCAAAUACUCAAAAUCGCAAUUGGGCAAGAAAUCUUUGACACAAAAGUUGAAAAUUUUAUCAGCAAGAACUGAAAAGUAUGUAAUUGCUAAAAGAAUACAAAACAACCCGAAAUGACCACAAGAACAAAAUGAAGAAUGCUUUCUCCACCUCCCAAAAUAAAAAAUGAUAUCUAAAUGAGUUUUGGAAUUUAAAAUUGACAAACCCUCACCACUCUUUCACAUAUAAAUCACAAAAAUACAAUAUAUACACCAUUAAAAAAAUCACAUAGAAGACAAAUUUUAAUGGAAAAAGAAGAAGAAAAUCGUUGAUAACUAAGGAAUUACCUCUCUUUUGUAGUUUUCAUGCUCAACAAAUCCGUGAGUAAACAAAUCGUGUUCAAUUUAAACUUUUCGCAAAUAUCCUUUCUAAAACUAGAGGGUUCACCUGGGUUAGAGUAGUGUGUAUUGAAAAGUAUUUAGGGUUUUAAAGAGCCUAAUUUUGACGAGGAGAGGUUUAUUUGUGAAAAGGGAGAGAAAAAGAGGGAUUGUAUAUUAAAGAGAGAGAAAGAGGGAUU
rnacentral:lncRNA from 1 species